AUGUGAGGGCGAUCUGGCUAUUACAUCUGUCACCAAGGUGGAUUUGGAUGAUCUGGCUGGCUAGACAGGUGUCCCCUUCCUCCCUUGCCACUCUAUAUGAUCCCAUCCCAAAGCUGAGAUCUCAAAGAAGAUGAUCAUUCCCUCUAGAGGAUGACCGUUCUUCAGUCAAGAGUAUAUGAGCACUGCGUUUUCCUGCUAGAACCUCCAAACAAGCUCUUUUUAGUGGGCAGAUAUUGAUACAUACACGUGCACACACACAUACACAUAUCUGUUUCUUGAAGAAAAAUACUUCAUGU
rnacentral:snRNA from 1 species